rnacentral:rRNA from 1 species
UACGAAGGGUGCAGGCGUUACUCGGAAUUACUGGGCGUAAAGCGCGUGUAGGCGGCUUUGCAAGUCGGGUGUGAAAGCCCUCAGCUCAACUGAGGAAGUGCGCCCGAAACUGCAGAGCUUGAGUGCCGGAGAGGGUGGCGGAAUUCCCCAAGUAGAGGUGAAAUUCGUAGAUAUGGGGAGGAACACCGGUGGCGAAGGCGGCCACCUGGACGGUAACUGACGCUGAGACGCGAAAGCGUGGGGAGCAAACAGG